rnacentral:rRNA from 1 species
CUGAACUUAAGCAUAUCAUA